GACGAACGCUGGCGGCGUGCUUAACACAUGCAAGUCGAGCGAGAAGACGUAGCAAUACGUUUGUAAAGCGGCGAACGGGUGAGGAAUACAUGGGUAACCUACCCUCGAGUGGGGAAUAACUAGCCGAAAGGUUAGCUAAUACCGCGUACGCUCCUUGGACUUCGGUUCGGGGAGGAAAGCGAUACCGUGGGUAUCGCGCUCUUGGAUGGGCUCAUGUCCUAUCAGCUUGUUGGUGAGGUAACGGCUCACCAAGGCUUCGACGGGUAGCUGGUCUGAGAGGACGAUCAGCCACACUGGCACUGCGACACGGGCCAGAUUCCUACGGGAGGCAGCAGUAAGGAAUAUUGCGCAAUGGGCGAAAGCCUGACGCAGCGACGCCGCGU
rnacentral:rRNA from 1 species